UGAGGAAUAUUGGGCAAUGGAGGCAACUCUGACCCAGCCAUGCCGCGUGAGUGAAGAAGGUCUUCGGAUUGUAAAGCUCUUUCGGAUGUGAAGAUAAUGACGGUAGCAUCUAAAGAAGCCCCGGCAAACUUCGUGCCAGCAGCCGCGGUAAUACGAAGGGGGCGAGCGUUGUUCGGAAUUACUGGGCGUAAAGGGUGUGUAGGCGGUUUGAUAAGAUAGGGGUGAAAUCCCGGGGCUCAACCUCGGAAUUGCCUUUAUAACUAUUUGACUUGAGUAACAGAGAGGAUAGUGGAAUACCCAGUGUAGAGGUGAAAUUCGUAGAUAUUGGGUAGAACACCGGUGGCGAAGGCGACUAUCUGGCUGUUUACUGACGCUGAGGCACGAAAGCAUGGGGAUCAAA
rnacentral:rRNA from 1 species